GAUGUAUUCCCUCCGUCCAGAAAUACUUGUCAUUGAAAUGGAUGUAUCUAGAUGUAUUUUAGUUCUAGACACAUCCAUUUUGAUGACAAGUAAUUCCGGACGGAGGGAGUACAUA
rnacentral:pre_miRNA from 1 species